UACGUAGGGUGCGAGCGUUGCCCCGGAUUUAUUGGGCGUAAAGGGUGCGUAGGCGGCCCUGUAAGUAUGGUGUGAAAUCUCCCGGCUUAACUGGGAGGGUGCGCUAUAGACUGCGGGGCUCGAGUGUGGGAGAGGAAAGUGGAAUUCCUGGUGUAGCGGUGAAAUGCGUAGAUAUCAGGAGGAACACCGGUGGUGUAAACGGCUUUCUGGACCAUAACUGACGCUGAGGCACGAAAGCGUGGGUAGCAAACAGG
rnacentral:rRNA from 1 species